rnacentral:rRNA from 2 species
GGGUUGUGAGGUUAAGCGACUAAGCGUACACGGUGGAUGCCCUGGCAGUCAGAGGCGAUGAAGGACGUGCUAAUCUGCGAUAAGCGCCGGUAAGGUGAUAUGAACCGUUAUAACCGGCGAUACCCGAAUGGGGAAACCCAGUGUGACUCGUCACACUAUCAUUAACUGAAUCCAUAGGUUAAUGAGGCGAACCGGGGGAACUGAAACAUCUAAGUACCCCGAGGAAAAGAAAUCAACCGAGAUUCCCCCAGUAGCGGCGAGCGAACGGGGAGGAGCCCAGAGCCUGAAUCAGCAUGUGUGUUAGUGGAAGCGUCUGGAAAGGCGCGCGAUACAGGGUGACAGCCCCGUACACAAAAGCGCAUGUGCUGUGAGCUCGAUGAGUAGGGCGGGACACGUGGUAUCCUGUCUGAAUAUGGGGGGACCAUCCUCCAAGGCUAAAUACUCCUGACUGACCGAUAGUGAACCAGUACCGUGAGGGAAAGGCGAAAAGAACCCCGGCGAGGGGAGUGAAAAAGAACCUGAAACCGUGUACGUACAAGCAGUGGGAGNNNNNNNNNNNNNNNNNNNNNNNNNNNNNNGGGCGUUAAGUUGCAGGGUAUAGACCCGAAACCCGGUGAUCUAGCCAUGGGCAGGUUGAAGGUUGGGUAACACUAACUGGAGGACCGAACCGACUAAUGUUGAAAAAUUAGCGGAUGACCUGUGGCUGGGGGUGAAAGGCCAAUCAAACCGGGAGAUAGCUGGUUCUCCCCGAAAGCUAUUUAGGUAGCGCCUCGUGAAUUCAUCUCCGGGGGUAGAGCACUGUUUCGGCUAGGGGGCCAUCCCGGCUUACCAACCCGAUGCAAACUGCGAAUACCGGAGAAUGUUAUCACGGGAGACACACGGCGGGUGCUAACGUCCGUCGUGAAGAGGGAAACAACCCAGACCGCCAGCUAAGGUCCCAAAGUCAUGGUUAAGUGGGAAACGAUGUGGGAAGGCCCAGACAGCCAGGAUGUUGGCUUAGAAGCAGCCAUCAUUUAAAGAAAGCGUAAUAGCUCACUGGUCGAGUCGGCCUGCGCGGAAGAUGUAACGGGGCUAAACCAUGCACCGAAGCUGCGGCAGCGANNUGCUGGAGGUAUCAGAAGUGCGAAUGCUGACAUAAGUAACGAUAAAGCGGGUGAAAAGCCCGCUCGCCGGAAGACCAAGGGUUCCUGUCCAACGUUAAUCGGGGCAGGGUGAGUCGACCCCUAAGGCGAGGCCGAAAGGCGUAGUCGAUGGGAAACGGGUUAAUAUUCCCGUACUUGGUGUUACUGCGAAGGGGGGACGGAGAAGGCUAUGUUGGCCGGGCGACGGUUGUCCCGGUUUAAGCGUGUAGGUGUGUGUUCCAGGUAAAUCCGGUUCACUUUAACACUGAGGCGUGACGACGAGGCACUACGGUGCUGAAGCAACAAAUGCCCUGCUUCCAGGAAAAGCCUCUAAGCAUCAGGUAACAUCAAAUCGUACCCCAAACCGACACAGGUGGUCAGGUAGAGAAUACCAAGGCGCUUGAGAGAACUCGGGUGAAGGAACUAGGCAAAAUGGUGCCGUAACUUCGGGAGAAGGCACGCUGACACGUAGGUGAAGUGAUUUACUCAUGGAGCUGAAGUCAGUCGAAGAUACCAGCUGGCUGCAACUGUUUAUUAAAAACACAGCACUGUGCAAACACGAAAGUGGACGUAUACGGUGUGACGCCUGCCCGGUGCCGGAAGGUUAAUUGAUGGGGUCAGCGCAAGCGAAGCUCCUGAUCGAAGCCCCGGUAAACGGCGGCCGUAACUAUAACGGUCCUAAGGUAGCGAAAUUCCUUGUCGGGUAAGUUCCGACCUGCACGAAUGGCGUAAUGAUGGCCAGGCUGUCUCCACCCGAGACUCAGUGAAAUUGAACUCGCUGUGAAGAUGCAGUGUACCCGCGGCAAGACGGAAAGACCCCGUGAACCUUUACUAUAGCUUGACACUGAACAUUGAGCCUUGAUGUGUAGGAUAGGUGGGAGGCUUUGAAGUGUGGACGCCAGUCUGCAUGGAGCCGACCUUGAAAUACCACCCUUUAAUGUUUGAUGUUCUAACGUGGACCCGUUACCCGGGUUGCGGACAGUGUCUGGUGGGUAGUUUGACUGGGGCGGUCUCCUCCUAAAGAGUAACGGAGGAGCACGAAGGUUGGCUAAUCCUGGUCGGACAUCAGGAGGUUAGUGCAAUGGCAUAAGCCAGCUUGACUGCGAGCGUGACGGCGCGAGCAGGUGCGAAAGCAGGUCAUAGUGAUCCGGUGGUUCUGAAUGGAAGGGCCAUCGCUCAACGGAUAAAAGGUACUCCGGGGAUAACAGGCUGAUACCGCCCAAGAGUUCAUAUCGACGGCGGUGUUUGGCACCUCGAUGUCGGCUCAUCACAUCCUGGGGCUGAAGUAGGUCCCAAGGGUAUGGCUGUUCGCCAUUUAAAGUGGUACGCGAGCUGGGUUUAGAACGUCGUGAGACAGUUCGGUCCCUAUCUGCCGUGGGCGCUGGAGAACUGAGGGGGGCUGCUCCUAGUACGAGAGGACCGGAGUGGACGCAUCACUGGUGUUCGGGUUGUCAUGCCAAUGGCACUGCCCGGUAGCUAAAUGCGGAAGAGAUAAGUGCUGAAAGCAUCUAAGCACGAAACUUGCCCCGAGAUGAGUUCUCCCUGAGACUUAGAGUCUCCUGAAGGAACGUUGAAGACGACGACGUUGAUAGGCCGGGUGUGUAAGCGCAGCGAUGCGUUGAGCUAACCGGUACUAAUGAACCGUGAGGCUUAACCUUACAACGCCGAAG